AUGUGGCAUUGCUGCCAGCCAGCCAGGCUCAUCAUCGGCUGCCUGCCUCGCCACAGCUCGCCGGCGCAUUUACUCGGCGUGAAUGCGGAUGAUUUCUCCACCCGAUUCGCUCCGCGCUCGCCGUUUUCGGGCCUCCCGCGUUCGUCUCUUCCUGCUUCGUCCAGGCAGGAGCACGUUCUCGCGUUAGCUUCUUUCCGUUUUGGACGCUUGGAGCUCGACGCGGGCACCGGCAUCAAUUGUUCUUUGAUCCUCUCGCAUCUGGCCGCUCUUGGACUGAUUGGUUUUCCACGAUGCUCUAGUGACCCAUGUGUGGCACCCAACCGCAUGCCUCGGAAAACUUUCUUUCCGUUUUGGACAGGACGAGGUGGACUGGAGCUCAUCUUCAGCCAGAAAGACCCGAACAUCCCCAUGGUGUCGACUAUCAUUAUUAUGGACGCGGCUCCUCUGACGUACGACGCAUACACUGCCGUAUGGACCCAGACCCACCUGUCAGUGGCCCCACGUCAGGAGGCCGUACGUCAGGGGAUCCUGCUCCCAUUAUUAUGCAUUGCUUUCCACACCAAACUUGCGUGUCUUGGGAUAUUGGAACAACAGCCCGGGCCGCGUGGUCGACACCGGAAGCAGGGCCGAUUACAUGCCCCCCAAACCAGGAUGUACGUUUGUACGCCCAACUCCCCCUCCCCUGUACCCCCUGCCCACAUCGGCCUCGGCAAGGGCGGCGCCAAGCGCCGCCGGAAGGUGCUCCGCGACAACAUCCAGGGCAUCACCAAGCCGGCCAUCUGUCGUCUGGCGCGCAGGGGCGGCGUGAAGCGCAUCUCGGGGCUCAUCUACGAGGAGACCCGCGACGUGCUCAAGAUCUUCCUGGAGAACGUCAUCCGCGAUGCCGUCACCUACACGGAGCACGCCCGCCGCAAGACCGUCACCGCCAUGGACGUCUCGUCUACGCGCUCAAGUGCCAGGGGCGAACCCUCUACGGAUUUGGCGGCUGAUCCUGCGGCCGCUGCUCCAAUCUUCAUUGUUUCGACUCUGCUAGCUGCUGUUCUGGUGCUAUGGUUUCGUUUCUGA
rnacentral:rRNA from 1 species